GGGGGAUGUCUUGGCAUCAGGUGGCGAUAAUGGGCGUGAAAGUCUGCGAAAUGCUCGGGGGAGUUGACAAAUAAACAGUGAUCCCGAGAUUCCCUAGCAAACGCGGAGAACUGAAACAUCUAAGUACCCGCAGGAAGAGAAAGAAAAAUCGAUUUCCUCAGUAGCGGCGAGCGAACGGGAAACAGCCCAAACCGUCGAGGUUUCCUCGGCGGGGUUGUAGGGCCCUUCACAUGAGAGUCACAAAUCUAUCUGGAAGCAGAAGUCCUUGGAAAGGGACGCCGCAGAGGGUGACAGCCCCGUAAGCGACUCCGGAUAGACUCUCGAGGGGUACCUGAGUAGGUCGGGUCACGUGAAACCCCGACUGAAUCCACGGGGACCAUCCCGUAAGGCUAAACACAACCUGAUGACCGAUAGUGAACUCAGUAUGGCGACUGAAAGAUGAGAAGAACCCCUUCUAGGGGAGGUAUGUGAACCUGAAACCAUGUGCCUACAAGCGGUCGGAGCCCGAUUCAUGGGUGACGGCGUGCCUUUUGCAUAAUGAUCCGGCGAGUUACCGUCAAUGGCUCGAUUAAGGCCUUCCGGGCCGUAGUCUCAGCGAAAGCAAGUCUGAAUAGGGCGUUUUGUCAGUGGCGGUAGACGCGAAACCAGGUGAACUACCCAUGAGCAGGUUGAAGCGCGGGUAAGACUGCGUGGAGGACCGAACCCACCUAGGUUGAAAACUGGGGGGAUGACUUGUGGGGAGGAGUAAAAGUCUAAUCAAACCUGGAGAUAGCUCGUUCUCUCCGAAAUAUCUUGAGGGAUAGCGUCGAGUAAAUUAGUGACCGGGGGUAGAGAUACUGAAUCGGAUGGGGGCCCUUCCAAGGGUACCUCACCGAACCAAACUCCGAAUACCGGUUCACCUUACCUCGGCAGUCAGUCCCUGGGGGAUAAGCUCCAGGGUCGAGAGGGAAACAACCCAGAUCGCCUGCUAAGGUCCCGAAGUGCUACUUAGUCACUAAGGAAGUUGAAGUGCCGUGACAGCUGGGAUGUUGGCUUAGAAGCAGCCACCAUUUAAAAAGUGCGUAACAGCUUACUGGUCGAGCAGUUCUGCGCCAAUAAUGAACGGGAGUAAGUACGACACCGAAGCAGUAGAUUUAUGGUAGGAGAGCGCCGCU
rnacentral:rRNA from 1 species